GGAAAUAUUGCACCUGUAACAUUGCUUAUCACAUUGGAGCUUCAUAAGUCUGUCUUUACAAAAACAAGAACCAAAAGGAGCUGUGCUAUGGGUGCAUGCAUCGUGCCAAGGCCAACAGUCUGCUGUACUGCUGAGAGGAAACAUAAAAAAAGGAUCCAGAGACCAAGAAGAUUCUAUGGAGAUACCAGAUAAUGAAGACAAGGACGCUGUGUUCAAGAACCA